UAGCCUACGGGAGGCAGCAGUAGGGAAUUUUCGGCAAUGGGGGGAACCCUGACCGAGCAACGCCGCGUGAACGAAGAAGUUAUUCGUAAUGUAAAGUUCUUUUAUCAGGGAAGAAAGAGGAAUUUGACGGUACCUGAGGAAUAAGCUCCGGCUAACUCCGUGCCAGCAGCCGCGGUAAUACGGAGGAUGCGAGCGUUAUCCGGAUUUAUUGGGUCUAAAGGGUGCGUAGGCGGAUCGUUAAGUCAGUGGUCAAAUUGAGGGGCUCAACCCCUUCCCGCCAUUGAAACUGGCGCUCUUGAGUGGAA
rnacentral:rRNA from 1 species